GUCGGGGUGGCGGAAUUGGCAGACGCGCACGUUUGAGGGGCGUGUGGGCAGCCGUACGGGUUCAAGUCCCGUCCUCGNNN
rfam:Alicyclobacillus sp. RIFOXYA1_FTLL_53_8 rifoxya1_full_scaffold_834, whole genome shotgun sequence.